rnacentral:rRNA from 1 species
UGGGGAAUAUUGGACAAUGGGCGCAAGCCUGAUCCAGCCAUGCCGCGUGAGUGAUGAAGGCCCUAGGGUUGUAAAGCUCUUUCACCGGUGAAGAUAAUGACGGUAACCGGAGAAGAAGCCCCGGCUAACUUCGUGCCAGCAGCCGCGGUAAUACGAAGGGGGCUAGCGUUGUUCGGAUUUACUGGGCGUAAAGCGCACGUAGGCGGACUAUUAAGUCAGGGGUGAAAUCCCGGGGCUCAACCCCGGAACUGCCUUUGAUACUGGUAGUCUUGAGUUCGAGCGAGGUGAGUGGAAUUCCGAGUGUAGAGGUGAAAUUCGUAGAUAUUCGGAGGAACACCAGUGGCGAAGGCGGCUCACUGGCUCGAUACUGACGCUGAGGUGCGAAAGCGUGGGGAGCAAACAGG